AGCUGUACGGCCACUUCCAUCCACCGUGUGUCCUCCAUCUAGGCUCCGCGUACACCACGUGCAGCUCGGCGGUUCCGCAUUUUCAGAUAGAAGGGGAGAGAGAGCGGCGGGUCAGCGCACCUAUUCAUUUCGUUCCCCAUUUUCUCUCUCUAGGGUUAUUCGCUCUCCUCUCUCCUCGCUCGCAUCGAUUUUGCGAUUUUUCACAUCCAACCUCUUGAAUUACCCACACACCAGCAACUCAGCUAGAUCCGGUGGUGAUCAACGGCAUCUCUGACGAGGUGAGUGAUUUCCUCCAUCGCCGCGCGCCCAAAAGUCCCCCCUCCUCGUGGUUUUUUCCACGCCAUUUCCUGGUGUGCUCCUGUUUUUGUGGAUUUCAUCAUCGCGCUCAUCCGCUGGGGAUUCCACGGCGUCUAUCGGGGGCAAGGUGCCGAAGCGCAGAUCUGGACACUCUCCAAUCGUGCCCCCACUCUUCUGUUCAUGGCCCGCAGCUCGCUGGCGGUUCUGCUCCUGCUUGCGGCGCUCGCGGGCGUGGUCGCUGCCAGGAACAUCGUCCACCAGGACGACGAGGACCCGAAAUUCCCGGCUGCGCCAACGAUUUUGUCCUAGGUGCAGACAACACAUUCAUGAUUCACCAGAGAACCUGGUUAGUGUUGUUCAAAUAACCAUACCAAGUUACAAUGACAAGAGGGAAGAAGCAGCAGCAAGGUCGUGCUGCCUCAUCUAAUGUGAGAAGGAGGUUGCCCAAAUAAUUUGUGAAUAUCCAAAGGACGAACUAUGGUUUACAUUACUCUGCAAGAAGAUACAUAUGCAGUAAGACUUGAUUCACUCUUAGAUUUCAAAAAGAAUCAUUUCUUUGCUUGUCCACACUCAAGCUCCAAGAAAAGUAUUUUUGCUGCAGGCAAGAUAUGAAUGAGCUCGUACAAUGAUGUGAUAGUCAAAACUAGUGGCUCUUUAGCAACUUUUAGACCAAUAUAUUGUAUUAUGCAAUUAUAGCUUGGGACUGUUGCAUUUCUCCAAUAAUUGUAGCAAUUUAUAUGUCAUGGAGGUGAACUUGAUGAAAUAUAUACUAGAGGUAUUUGUUAGGACUCCCUCUCCAAGAACUGAACGUCGUUAAGACCAACUACCCUAGCUCCUCAGAGCAAUUUUUAAAACUCAUAAGCUUGUAUGUGCAGUUCUUUUGAUCCCUAGUAUUCAUGCAGGCCUGACAAUCUUUUAGGUUUGUUUUCUGAUUGAGUUAAGCAGCUUGGUAGUAGCAUAUUUGUUUGCAACUUCUCAUUAUUGAAAUGUCAUUUUUCAUAUUUUGUAUAUGGUUUUGUAAAAUUCAAUUGAAUCUUUUGUCCAUGCUCUAAUUUUCUCGCACUUUCUUAGAACUUUGCUUAUAUGGUUCCAAAACAAUGCUUAUUCUGUCUAGGAAAUUCAUGAUUAUUAGUUAGGCAAAGUAAUACUUUUAGUUGUACAAUUUUUUGGCUACGGAACAAGCAAAUGCAUAUGCAUGUAGGCAAUUUUUAUAACAUUUUAUUUUUCAAAUGCCUCUGUUGAUAAUUAGGAUACAAUAGGUAGUUCUUCAGCUUAUCCAACUUACUUUAUGUGCUACAUACUAUCUGAUGUAUUCCUAUUUUUCCCAUUAUAUGACAGGUCAUGGAAGGUGCUCAUAAGUUAGGUAAAGACUCUGUUACAACAAGCUAAAGUCAAGUAUAAGCAGGGUGUAUCUAGUGUUUACGUGAUGACUGAUGAAACAAUAUUAUUGUGAAUCUGUUUUAUUGGCUUGUACAUUUAUUCUAAAUUGCUUCGGAGUUUAUUAUGAGAUGCUUUCAACUUUUAACCAAAGUGCUCUUGGAACUGUACGAGAAAAAUAUAAUCGAAACAUAUUGAAGUGAUAUCUUGUUUU